UACGGAGGGUGCAAACGUUGCUCGGAAUCAUUGGGCGUAAAGCGCACGUAGGCGGACCGCUAAGUCGGAUGUGAAAGCCCUCGGCUUAACCGAGGAAGUGCAUUCGAAACUGACAGUCUUGAGUAUGGAAGAGGGUCGCGGAAUUCCCGGUGUAGAGGUGAAAUUCGUAGAUAUUCGCAAGAACACCAGUGGCGAAGGCGGCUUACUGGUCCGGAACUGACGCUGAGGCGCGAAAAGCGUGGGGAGCAAACAGGG
rnacentral:rRNA from 1 species